GAUGAACGCUAGCGCAGGCUAACACAUGCAAGUCGAGGGAGGAGCCUUCGGGCUUCGACCGGCGUACGGGUGCGUAACGGGUAUCAUCUGCCUUUCACAUAGGGAUAGCCCGAAGAAAUUUGGAUUAAUACCUAAUAGUAUAUAGAUGUGGCAUCACAUUUAUAUUAAAGCUGAGGCGGUGAAAGAUGAGUAUGCGUUCUAUUAGCUAGUUGGAGAGGUAACGGCUCCCCAAGGCGACGAUAGAUAGGGGUUCUGAGAGGGAUAUCCCCCACACUGGUACUGAGAUACGGACCAGACUCCUACGGGAGGCAGCAGUGAGGAAUAUUGGACAAUGGUCGGAAGACUGAUCCAGCCAUGCCGCGUGCAGGAAGACGGCCUUAUGGGUUGUAAACUGCUUUUGCAGGGGAAGAAUAAGGACUACGUGUAGUUUGAUGACGGUACUCUGCGAAUAAGCAUCGGCU
rnacentral:rRNA from 1 species